rnacentral:rRNA from 1 species
CAAUAGCGUAUAUUAAAGUUGUUGCAGUUAAAAGCUCGUAGUUGGAUUUCUGACAGGAGCGACCAUGCCGGGCUUGAUUGUCCGUGUUUUGUGUUGUCUCCAGUCAUCCUCGUGGAGAGCGUUUCUGGCAUUAGUUUGUUGGAGGCGGGACCCGCGUCGUUUACUGUGAAAAAUUAGAGUGUUUAAAGCAGGCAAUUGGCUUGAAUACAUUAGCAUGGAAUAAUAAGAUAGGACUUUGGUGCUAUUUUUGUUGGUUUGCACAUCAAGGUAAUGAUCAACAGAAUCAGUCGGGGAUAUUCGUAUGCAAAUGUCAGAGGUGAAAUUCUUGGAUUUUUUACAGACGAAACUACUGCGAAAGCAUUUAUCAAGGAUGUUUUCAUUAAUCAAGAACGAAAGUUAGGGGAUCGAAGACGAUCAGAU